UGAGAAAUGUCUACCACUUCUAAGGAAGGCAGCAGGCGCGCAAAUUACCCAAUCCCGACACGGGGAGGUAGUGACAAUAAAUAACAAUACAGGCGCUCGAUAAGAGUCUUGUAAUUGGAAUGAGUACAAUUUAAACCCCUUAACGAGUAACAAUUGGAGGGCAAGUCUGGUGCCAGCAGCCGCGGUAAUUCCAGCUCCAAUAGCGUAUAUUAAAGUUGUUGCAGUUAAAAAGCUCGUAGUUGGAUCUAGGGACGCGCAUUUCAAGCGCCCGUGUCGUUGGGUCAAACCAGCGACUGCGUUGGCGUUGCGGGCUCGGUCCGUCGGUGCCACAAAGCAUCGGCGUGUCAACCGGCCCGCCCGUCCCCUCCUUCUGGAUUCCCGUUCCUGCUAUUGAGUUAGUGGGGACGUCACAGGGGGCCCAUCGUCGUCGUGCAAACGGCGGCGGUGGGUCCCUGGGGCCCAGAUCGUUUACCGUGAAAAAAUUAGAGUGUUCAAAGCAGGCAGAUCCAAUUUUCUGCCACCGAAUACAUUAGCAUGGGAUAAUGGAAUAGGACCCUGUCCUCCUAUUUUCAGUUGGUUUUGGCAGCGCGAGGACUAGGGUAAUGAUUAAUAGGGAUAGUUGGGGGCAUUAAUAUUUAAUUGUCAGAGGUGAAAUUCUUGGAUUUAUGAAAGAUUAACUUCUGCGAAAGCAUCUGCCAAGGAUGUUUUCAUUAAUCAAGAACGAAAGUUAGGGGAUCGAAGACGAUCAGAUACCGUCGUAGUCUUAACCAUAAACGAUGCCGACCAGCGAUUAGGAGACGUUGAAUACAAAACACCACCAUCGGUGCGGUCGUCCUUGGCGUCUCGGUUUCGGCCGGGGCGCGGGGAUGGCUUAGCCCGGUGGCACCGGUGAAUGACUCCCCUAGCAGCUUGUGAGAAAUCAUAAGUCUUUGGGUUCCGGGGGGAGUAUGGUCGCAAGGCUGAAACUUAAAGGAAUUGACGGAAGGGCACCACCAGGAGUGGAGCCUGCGGCUUAAUUUGACUCAACACGGGGAAACUUACCAGGUCCGGACAUAGUAAGGAUUGACAGAUUGAUAGCUCUUUCUUGAUGCUAUGGGUGGU
rnacentral:rRNA from 1 species